rnacentral:rRNA from 1 species
GACGAACGCUGGCGGCGUGCUUAACACAUGCAAGUCGAACGGUGAAGCGCCUUCCUUUUUGGUGGGUGUGGAUGAGUGGCGAACGGGUGAGUAACACGUGAGUAACCUGCCCCCUUCUUCUGGAUAACCGCAUGAAAGUGUGGCUAAUACGGGAUAUUCUGGGUCUGUCGCAUGAUGGGUCUGGGAAAGAUAUUGUUUCGGUGGGGGAUGGGCUCGCGGCCUAUCAGCUUGUUGGUGGGGUGAUGGCCUACCAAGGCGGUGACGGGUAGCCGGCCUGAGAGGGUGGACGGUCACACUGGGACUGAGACACGGCCAAGACUCCUACGGGAGGCAGCAGUGGGGAAUAUUGCACAAUGGGAGCAAGCCUGAUGCAGCGACGCCGCGUGAGGGAUGGAGGCCUUCGGGUUGUGAACCUCUUUCGCCAGUGAAGCAGGCCUGCCUCGUUUGUGGGUGGGUUGACGGUAGCUGGAUAAGAAGCGCCGGCUAACUACGUG